rnacentral:lncRNA from 1 species
AAAGAAUAAAGAAGAAGAAUCUAGAGACUUGGUCUCCACAGUCAACAAAAACGGAGCAUUAAAUGUUCCUCCGUGCAGAUUUUGUUUUGACUUGAAGGCCACUUGGGAUUCAAGCUGAACGGAGCAUGAUUGCUUCCUCUGGUUGUCCAAAAAUUUGGACAACCAUACUCUAUAAGAACCAAAAAGAUUUUGAAAGCCAAAAGAGGAUUUUGAAAAAAAAUCGGAUUCAAAAAAAAAAACCCAUCUUCAAAAAAAUCCAACAAUCAAGAACACAAAAAAAAAACAACACAGAUCUUCAGAAACAAAAAAAAUCCUAAGAUCUACCAGCCAAAACACCUAACCACAAGCACUAAAAAAGCCAAAAUCACAACAAAAAGACACAAAAAGUAAAAAGGGCGAAAGCAAAAAAAAAAAAAAGAAAGGGUCUUGGAGACCCAGAUCUGGUCGGUGGAGGAGAAGGGACGUCAUGGCAAAAGAGAGGGGAAGAAGCUGGGAGAAAGAGAGAGAAGGG